UGGCACGGCAUCUGUGCGGCGUAUCGCGGCUUCCUCCUUUUUUUUUUCCCUGGUACAUUCUGUCAGCGUGGACCCGCUCUGUAACUGGACGCAGGCCUUCCAGGGACUACCAGAUGAAGAGGCUUUAUAUAAGACUGAGAGAGAGUCACGUGAAUAUCAGUGCUUUGGAUUGAAGUUGAAAAAUCAACUCAAAGCAAGUUACACGAGUUGGAAUUUGUAUUACAGUGGUCAAACUCAAGGCCCGGGGGCUGCAUAUGGCACAUGCACAUCGUUUUGGGUGGUCCACAAAAGUAAAUAAUGUGGACUGACUCAGUGUUGUUUUUGGCAGCUCUUUUAAUUUUCGUCUUAGUCUUUUGGACAAUAAUACAGUGAUCCAUCUAUUUAGGGGUGCUGGAGAGGAGGGUCCGUCAGGAAGUCGAAACUCGGACUCAGGAGGUGCAGUGUGGUUUUCGUCCCUGCCGUGGAACAGUGGACCAGCUCUACACCCUCGGCACGGUCCUCAAGAGUGCAUGGGAGUUCGCCUAACCAGUCUGCAUGUGUUUUGUGGACCUGGAGAAGGCAUUCGACCAUGUGCCUGGAGGAGUCCUGUGGGGGGUGCUCCGGAAGUACGGGGCACCGAGCCCCUUGGUAAGGGUUGUUCGGUCCCUGUACGACCCGUGUCAGAGUUGGGUCCGCAUUGCCGGCAAUGAUGUGGUGCUGUUGGCUUCAUAAAGCCGUGACCUCCAACUCUCACUGGAGUGGUUCGUAGCCGAGUGUGACGCGGUGGGGAUGAAGAUCAGCACCUCCAAAUACGAGACCGUGGUCCUCAGUCGGAAAAGGGUGGCGUGCCCUCUCCGGGUUGGGGAUGAGAUCCUGCCCCAAGUGGAGGAGUAUCUUGUAUCUUGGGGUCUUGUUCACGAUGAGCAUGGAGUAAAGAAAAACUCUCUGAGGAUUUGAGAAGAAAAAUUUUGAGGAAGCAUGGGCAGUCUCAAGGCUACAUGUCCUUCUCCAAAGACCUGAAUGUUCCUGUUUCUACCGUGCGCAGUGUCAUCAAUAAGUGUAAAGCCCCCGGCACUGUGGCUAACCUUCCUAGAUGUGGACAGAAAAGAAAAAUUUACAAGAGAUUUCAACGAAAGAUUGUGCGGAUGGUGAAUAAAGAAACUUGACUAAAAUCCAAACCAGUUCAAGCUGUCCCGCAGUCCGAGGGUACAACAGUGUCAACCUGUACUAUCCGUCAGCAUCUGAAUGAAAAGGGACUCUCCGGUAGGCUACCCAGGAAGACCCCGCUUUUGACCCAGAGACAUAAAAAGACAGGCUUGAUUUGCCAAAACUUACCAGAGAAAGCCAAAAAUGUUUUGGAAGAAUGUUCUCUGGUCUGAUGACACCAAAGUAGAGCUUUUUGGGAAAAGGCAUCAACAUAGAGUAUAGAAGAAAAAAACGAGGCCUUCAAAGAAAAGACCACGGUCCCCAGAGUCAAACAUGGCGGAAGUUCCCUGAUGUUUUGGGGUUGCUCUGCUGCCUCUGGCACUGGACUUCUUGACCGUGUGCAUGGCAUUAUGAAGUCUGAAGACUACCAACAAUUUCACAGCAUAAUGUAGGGCCUAGUGUGAGAAAGCUGGGUCUCCCGCAGAGGUCAUGGGUCUUCCAGCAGGAUAACGACCCAAAACACACUUCAAAAAGCACUAGAAAAUGGUUUGAGAGAAAGCAGUGGAGACAACUAAAGUGGCCAGCAAUGAGUCCAGACCUGAAUCCCAUGGAACACCUGUGGGGAGAUCUGAAAAUGGCAGUUUGAAGAAGGCACCCUUCAAAUCUCAGAGACCUGAAGCAGUUGGCCAAAGAAGAAUUGUCUAAAAUUUCAGCAGAGCAUUGUAAAAAUCUCAUUGAUGGAUACCGGAAGCGGUUGUUCGCAGUUAUUUUGUCUAAAAUUGUGCUACCGAGUAUUAGGCUGAGUUAGUAGGUUUAGUAUCAUGACAACAGUACUUGCUAUGAAGUUACAACCUGAGCACAAAUGGCUCUUCAAAAUUGACAAUGACCCAAAGCGUACCGCCAAACUGCUUCCAAAGUGGCACACGGAUAGCAAAGUUAAUGUUUUUUUGGAGUGACCAUCCUAAAGUCUUGAUCUAUAUAUAUAUAUGUACUCUACGGGAAUGGCUUCCGCCGGGCUGGCGCAUUGUGAAAAAGAGCCUGUACGUUGUCUGGAUGGCGGCCAGCUGACAUUCCGCAGAGACAAAUUGAGAGAGAGCGGCACUCGGGCAGAUUUAUCGGGCCAUUGGCUAGCCUUAGGAAUUCUCUUGUAACGCGGCACUCCUGCGAAAAGGGAUGAGGGAAUUAGUGUAAAACACACCCUCCACUCCUCUUCCACCGUUUUAAGAUGUUGUAUUACUUUCAUAUAUUCCCCUGAACGGGUGGAAGACGGACGUUCUUUGAUAGCUAUGAAUAUUCAUGAAGAGCCGCCGGGGAAAAUUGCUGUUUUUUAGCUAACGUGUCGCAGAAUUAUUAAGACGUUCAGAUGAAUUAAAACUGGUUUGGCGUUAGCUCGUUAGCUAAGCACAUCGUUUCGUCAUGAAACGGAGACUUUGUUUUCUGAAUAUUUCUUGAUGACGGUAGUUAAUCAGAGCGAUGAAUGGAAGAUGGAUGAGUGCUAGCGUCUUUUGAUGGGCAUGAAUAUUCAAGAGAGGCUGGUGAAGGAAGAUUGCUCUACUGUAUGCCGGCUGUUGAGUCACAGUCACAAAGAUGGAUGAGAGAGAAAAGAGCUGCGCCUGGCUUGCGUUCUAGCUUGGUGUUAAGAGAGAAAAAAAUAACAAAGGUUGAUAGAAAAAAAAUAGAGAAGUUGUAUAUCUCGAAGAUUCAUCAGAAGUGACGCGUUACAUGUACUCUUGUGACAUUUACUUGAGCAACUUUUUGAAGAAAAUAUACUUCUAAAAGCAGAGGCGUAGCAAGGGUCUACGGGGGCCCCAGGCAACAAGCAACAUUGGGCCCUUCGAGCGUGUGCAGGUAAGGGGGACAGUUGGAGCAUGCUGCAAUGCUGUUAGCAAACGCUAACAAGCUAGUUACAACCAGUGUUGGGCACGUUACUUAAAAAAAGUAAUUAGUUACAUUACUCACUACUUCUUCUAAAAAGUAACUGAGCACUUUACACUAACUCAUAUGGAUGUACUUACAUUGGUUCAUGGACGCACACAUUUUAACUAACAGAAUAGGCAGCGCUUGUGACGUAGGACAAUAACAGGACUGUUUGCUAUGGGAACGUACGCAUACCCAAAGAACCUUGCUAAAAGGAAUAUUAAAAUUGCGAAUAAAAUCGUUUCGGAUUAUUUUAGAUAAUAUAUGUUAUAUUUUUCUUAUAGAGUAUUCGACGAGGAAUACGAUAGACCCAUCCAUAGACUUUUUGGGGGAAAUCCCUAUUUCUUUAAGUAGUCACAUGAAUAAUGAGGUGGCCUGUGAAAAUCAAUGUAGAAAAACUCGCCAAGGACUUUCCAGAGAAUAGUUGGUGAGUCACUCUUUAAACAAUCAUGUGGUAUUCAUAUCUGAUUGCACUUUCUUAAACAUGUAUAAUCUACGUGACAUGGUUAGUGCUGAUUGGGAUUGAUAACAGAAUCGUUAGAUAAUCUGCCAAAUGAUUCCAUGGUAUUGAAACACUCCCUACACUUGUCGCUGUGACAGUACAGUAAAGCUGUGUGUGCUAAAUCUGUUGGCCCUCUGGGGGCCCCCUGCUAGCUGCUUAUAUUAAAACCCCUCUUAAUUUUUUCGUUUUAAUAAAAUUAGUAAAAUUUUCAAUCAAAAAAUAAACUAGUAGCCCGUCAUUGUUGAUGUCAAUAAUUACACAAUGCUCAUGGGUGCUUAAGCCCAUAAAAUCAGUCGCACCCAUGUGCCAGUAGAGGGCAUCAAAACUCCGUUUAAAGGGGAACUGAAGACCUUUCCGGAUUUUGGUGUAAUUUUAUGAAUAUAAACUUGGGACAAGUUCGUCAAAACAACCAUGACUGUAUCAACACGUAAUUGUAAGGAUAAUUUGCGUUUUUUUAGUUUUUUUGCACUCCGUUAAUGGUCCCUUCGCAAACCCGGAAGUGUGACGUAGGCAACAGAAGACUACUCACAGCUAACAUAGCAGCAACAACGAUGUCAGUGAUAUUUCCACCAAAGGUAACCAUUCAGGAUCGCUCUUUCGUGACGCUACCGAUGGCAAAGGCUCCCAGGAAAGAUGAACUACAAUUAAUCCCUGCAUGUUUGAACCUGAGGCGUCAGAUGACGGCGAUUUACUUGACACAGCAGAUGGCGUCAUGACGCCAAUUGACAGCUCGACACUUCACGAACGGGAGAGUGAGUGGUGUUGCUGUAAACCGUCAAGUAAUUACCCUUCCAAGAGUAUGCCUGUGUCAUCAGGAGAUCCCAGACGUGAGAGCCAAACUUGCGGAGGCUGAAGCACUGACAGGGGCAUGAAUUUCAUUUAAAAAAUAAAACCAUAAGUUGUUAACAACAUUGACACAUUUUGUUGACUGUUUAAUGUAUUCUAUUGGUAUAUAAUAUAUUGUAAUUAUAUUACAUUCUGAAAAAAAAUUCAAUAGGCCGCAAUAAUAAAUGAUACCAGGUUUAUGUUGAAUCAGCAUUAGCUUUCGUUGUCAGAUUGUGACACAACAUGUUAUACCAAGCACACAACGGCACACAUCAAAGAGCAUAAUUUUAGUAAGCAACACAAAGUUAGGAUAGCAACGGACUAGCGCAACAUUGAAAAAUGAUAAUGGCAGUGGGAAAUAUGUAUUUACUCUUUUCUGUAGCAUGAAGUGUUCUCUAUACAAAGAUAAUGCAUUAUCAUUAAAAUAUGAAGGUAAUUUGAUUUUUCUUUUAAAAAAUGUGUACUGUAUAUAUGACUAGUUUAUGAUUUCAUAUCAUCAAAAUUUGCUACAUUUAUUUCUCCUAAAUCAUCGUCAUCUGAUGUCGCAGACGGAAGAAAUUCAGCAUCUGGCAGGCCUCAUAGGAUCUCUUCAGUCGUCAUCGCUGGACACCGCAUCACUUCGGUCAUCAUAUGACUCGACCCACUCUCUCUUGAUUUUGGGAAACUGGGUGGCAACUGACUUGCAACGCUUUUUUCAUCGUGUUGAGGGUUUCCGCCACUUAAUUUUUUAUGUUUGGCUUCCUGGAGGAAAAAAAAAAAUCACAGCAGCAUGAAAAUAUUGGAUGAAUCCCAAUUUUAAUUUAAUAAUAAUUUCUUGGUGAUCAAAUAAUAAUGCCCCAGUCAUAGCAGCAUCUAUUUCUAUUUGAUGCUAUUGUUCCCUCUUCAAAUAGGCAGACCUUGAUGUUGAAAUAUAAAAAACAACGAGCCAAGGACCUAUUUGGUGCUGGGGACAUUUGAAUUUACAUAACACCUAUUGAUAUAGUAAUAAAAUCACAUGAGUAGACGACAUGUCAGCCAACCUAUCUACUUAUGACAGGCCAACAGCAAAAAAAAAAAAAAAAAAAAUGUCGCACUUCAACAAACUGGCUGUAGGAGUCCCCCUCGUUUAUAAAAAAAAAAAGCCAUUAAUGUUCUACUUACGUCUUUGGAAAACCAAAGUUGCAUUGUUGUAGGUUUUCAAAGCUGUCGUGGCUGAAAUGAUGAAAACAAUGAGCCGAUUGGGGACCUGUAUGCAUGCUAACAAAAACGGUCCAAACCUUUGCAGAAGUUUUUUUUUGGACCACUCCGAGAGUCUCGAGUCUUCCUGUGAGUAAUUCAUAUCGCUACACAUCGAGAUGGCAUGACGAAUCCCGCGAGUAAAACCCAGAAAAUGUUUGCAAUAUAUGGCGAGGAUAGCGUGGUGCUAUAUUUCCGUGUUCAGAGUGGUAGCGAGGCUUCCUGGAAGUUACGUCACGAGGUAGGGGUCGGCAGGACGGCGCGUCCCUCGUUGCUAUGGUGUUGCUAUGGCCAUAACUCAAAAACUACGCGGUCAAUUAUUAUUUUUUUUUUUUUUUAUGUGACUUUCUGAGAGAGCGAAUGACGCAUUUAAAACAAUUCAACUGAGUAAAACACUUAAGCGCGAAAUCUGAAAAGCUCUUCAGUUCCCCUUUAACACAAGUAACAAGUUGGCAUUGCACUGUGCUGUCAUUUUAUUCUGUUUGAGCGAGGCAUGUGCAUUAAUUGCGUGAAAUAUUUAACGUGAUUAAUUCGAAAAAUUU